rnacentral:rRNA from 1 species
UACGUAGGGUGCAAGCGUUGUCCGGAAUUAUUGGGCGUAAAGAGCUCGUAGGCGGUUUGUCGCGUCUGCUGUGAAAACCCGAGGCUCAACCUCGGGCCUGCAGUGGGUACGGGCAGACUAGAGUGCGGUAGGGGAGACUGGAAUUCCUGGUGUAGCGGUGAAAUGCGCAGAUAUCAGGAGGAACACCGGUGGCGAAGGCGGGUCUCUGGCCCGAUAACUG